rnacentral:rRNA from 1 species
GCCUACGGCCAUGCCCCCCUGAACACGUCCGAUUUCAUCUGAUCUCGGAAGCUAAGCAGGGUCGGGCCUGGUUAGUACUUGGAUGGGAGACCACCUAGGAAGACCAGGUGCUGUAGGCA